rnacentral:rRNA from 1 species
UACGUAGGGUGCGAGCGUUGUCCGGAAUUAUUGGGCGUAAAGGGCUCGUAGGCGGUCUGUCACGUCGGGAGUGAAACUCAGGGCUUAACCCUGAGCCUGCUUCCGAUACGGGCAGACUAGAGGUAUGCAGGGGAGAACGGAAUUCCUGGUGUAGCGGUGAAAUGCGCAGAUAUCAGGAGGAACACCGGUGGCGAAGGCGGUUCUCUGGGCAUUACCUGACGCUGAGGAGCGAAAGUGUGGGGAGGCGAACAGG